GAUGAACGCUGGCGGCGUGCCUAAUACAUGCAAGUCGAGCGAACGGACGAGAAGCUUGCUUCUCUGAUGUUAGCGGCGGACGGGUGAGUAACACGUGGAUAACCUACCUAUAAGACUUGGAUAACGUCGGGAAACCGGAGUUAAUACCGGUAGAUAUUUUGAACCGCAUGGUUCAAAAGUGAAAGACGGUCUUGCUGUCACUUAUAGAUGGAUCCGCGCUGCAUUAGCUAGUUGGUAAGGUAACGGCUUACCAAGGCAACGAUGCAUAGCCGACCUGAGAGGGUGAUCGGCCACACUGGAACUGAGACACGGUCCAGACUCCUACGGGAGGCAGCAGUAGGGACUCUUCGGCAAUGGGCGAAAGCCUGACGGAGCAACGCCGCGUGAGUGAUGAGGGUCUUCGGAUCGUAAAACUCUGUUAUUAGGGAAGACCAUAUGUGUAAGUAACUGUGCACAUCUUGACGGUACCUAAUCAGAAAGCCACGGCUAACUACGUG
rnacentral:rRNA from 1 species